rnacentral:lncRNA from 1 species
GGACUUUCAACGGAAUCCUACAAAAGAUCUGGCUAAGAGCUUGGCCAAAGACUAACAAAUACAUCCUGGAUAAAAUUAAAUUUUUGUCCUUGUGAUGCCUCAUCAGAGGGGUUAAAAACAUCAGUUCGGGUCUAUGAUCUAUGCACAAUUGAGAACAUCUACUGAAAGCAAUAAAUGCCUAAUGCCCCAGGCUAGAAUUGGUGAGUAUUUUCUCUUCAUGUGAUGCAAUAGAUACAAUUAACAAAACAAG